UUCUUUUGGCGAUCGGAAGUGGCUCCGGCGUGGCGUUGGAUGGUGGUGGUUCUCCUUUCCAGCGAUUGGGUCUUUUUCUCCGAUGAGGGUGUCUGACGGCUAGGCUUAGGAUUUGGUGUGAAGAGAAUUAUUUAUAUUCGUCCCCUUUUAAUAUGGGCCGUCCAUCGCGAUUGAUCUGAAACGUCUGAUCGCAAUUAAAUAGGGAGUGAAUCUAGACCGUUCAUCGCUAUCUGAUAUGAACCGUCCAAUCGCGUUUAAAUAAGAAGUGGAUCUGGACCGUUGAUCGCAUUUAAAUCUGACCGUCCAAGCGCGUUUAGGGAGAGAACACAUCCAGGUCGUUUGUGCAUGCGGGAGCGAAUAUGGACGGUUUGAUCGCGGGCACGCGGAUCGCCCGCGUGGCCUCCCGUGUGGCACUGUGUCAGUGUCCGUUGCCACGUGGCGCGUUCUGGUUCGUAAGAGCUACUAACCGGGCAUCUUAUGUGGUAUAACUUUUUUAAAUUACAUUUUGACCCAUAGUUUUCGAUUUUUCUUUCAAAAAUACCCUCAAAAUCCAAAAUUUCACUU
rnacentral:lncRNA from 1 species